rnacentral:pre_miRNA from 1 species
AGAGUACUCCCUCCGUUCGGAAUUACUCGUCCAAGAAAUGAAUGUAUCUAGAUGUAUUUUAGUUGUAGAUACAUCCAUUUUUGUGACAAGUAAUUCCGAACGGAGGGAGUAGUAU